rnacentral:rRNA from 1 species
CCUACGGGAGUCAGCAGUGAGGAAUAUUGGUCAAUGGACGAGAGUCUGAACCAGCCAAGUAGCGUGAAGGAUGACUGCCCUAUGGGUUGUAAACUUCUUUUAUAAAGGAAUAAAACGAGGCACGUGUGCCUGUUUGCAUGUACUUUAUGAAUAAGGAUCGGCUAACUCCGUGCCAGCAGCCGCGGUAAUAAGGUGGAUCCGAGCGUUAUCCGGAUUUAUUGGGUUUAAAGUGAGCGUAGAUGGGUUGUUAAGUCAGUUGUGAAAGUUUGCAGCUCAACCGUAAAAUUGCAAUUGAUACUGGCAGUCUUGAGGACAGGUGAGGUAAGCGGAAUUCGUGGUGUAGCGGUGAAAUGCUUAGAUAUCACGAAGAACCCCGAUUGCGAAGGCAGCUUACUAAACUGUGACUGACAUUGAUGCUCGAAAGUGUGGGUAUCAAACAGGAUUAGAUACCCCGGUAGUC